CACAUUGUGGAAAUGAAUUUAGGAAUUAAUUCGAUUUUAAGAUUAUCUAUUAUUUUAGUUUAUUUUUAAGAUUGAAAACCAUACACGGUUGGCAAUUACGUACAUUUGUAUAUAUUUAUUCUGUAAUGGGACUGUUUCUUAAUGUAAGAGUUCAAAGUUGUCAAGUUUUCUCUGGGCGUUUGUAUGGAGCUGAUGAUAUUUUGUAUUUUUCAAGUUCUAUUAGGAUCCUAAGAGGUAUUUGGCGGAGCGUAAGACCGCGAGUUCGAAGCUGAAGCAACGGAUUGCUGGGAAGAUGGAAGGUUUUAGGAGAGUUUCUUGCAUAAAUGUUCCUCUUCCAUUAUCUCAGUUACUGAGCUCUGCGGAUGAUUGAUGAGCCGCAUGUAAGUUUACCAAUGAUGGAGAAGAAUAGAAGAUCAAGUAGUAGCUGGGACUUUUGAUCUUAACCAUUGUCUUGGGAUUCCUGAUGAACUAACAGGAAUGAAGCCUGAGGCAUUGCGGAUCUAUAUGUCCCUGUUGCUGUUGGCAAUGAACCUGCAAAGUAGUGGUACAUGAAAGUGGUUUUUUUUUUUGUGAAAAUGAUAAACCUGCAUGGAAAGCGAGAUUUCUUGAUCUGCCUCGAAGAGUUUUAUUAUGGUUUGCUCUUGCUGGAUGACAGAUAACUUACGAGUAUAAGGAGGUUCGUAGAAGACAGCAAUCCCCGGUGUGGCAUGUAUGAUCGAGGUAAGGCAUAGUACCGUUGCUACGAUGAGAAGGGCUUGCAUUUGCAUUCCCAUAUCUAGUUUUUUGAUAACUUACUUACUAAUUAGUACUUAGUGGUGCAAUUGCAAACCUGAUGGUUUUUCUCUAUAUAUACACAAUCAUCUACAUAGGCAAAGACCUAAGAAAGUCACCCAGUCAAUGGACUGUAUGAAUUCCAUUACAAGAGUAGAUGAAGGGCCUACUCAUUUUUGACUCAUUGCCACAUUUCUGUUGGCACUUAAAUUGAUUUUGUAGACUUUAAGGCUUCACAAGCACCUUCUUGGAAGGGGAAAAAAAAAGGGGGGAUUCAGAUUCUUUCCAGAUCAUAUCUGGACCUGGAAAAAGAGUGUCUGAACAAGUGGACCUUAAGCCAUUGGUCUGAAUUCAACAGGGCUUACAUAUUUGUUGAAAGUCAACAGGCUUGAUAAAGCCCAAUAGUAA